AACAAAGAUAUAGAAAUAAUAUUUCUAAUGACCUUUGGCAUGAAAUAACAAUCUUUUAAUUCUAAAGUUUUAUCCAAAGAUAAAUCAAGCAUACAGAUUUUUACAGUCUUUGCACUAAUGGACUCUCCACUUGCAUCAUAGAGCUUGAGGUCACCUCUUUUUAGACAUUUGAUAUUCUGUAGUUGCUGUAAUGAAUUAUAAAUAUGCGAUCCAC
rnacentral:lncRNA from 1 species